rnacentral:rRNA from 1 species
AUGGUUGGAUGAGAUAUAAUCUAUUUUUAUUUUAAUAAUAAUGAAUUUUAAUUUUUAGUAAAAAUGCUAAAAUAAAAAAAAAAGACGAGAAGACCCUAUAAAUCUUUAUUUUAAUAAUUAAUUUAAUUAUUUAGAAAAUUUUUUUUAUUUUAUUUAUUAAAAUUUUAUUGGGGUGAUAAUGAAAUUUAAAAAACUUUUAUUUUUUUAUACAAUAAUUUUUGAUUAAUUGAUCCAUUUAUAAUGUUUAUAAAAUUAAGUUAC